rnacentral:rRNA from 1 species
GACAGAGGUGCCAAGCGUUAGGCGGAAUCACUGGGCUUAAAGCGUGUGUAGGCGGACUUGUAAGUACCUUGUGAAAUCCCACGGCUCAACCUGUGGAACUGCUUGGUAUACUGCUUGUCUUGAGCCACUUAGGGGCUACCGGAACAAAUGGUGGAGCGGUGAAAUGCGUAGAUAUCAUUUGGAACGCCAAUGGUGAAAACAGGUAGCUGGGAGUGUGCUGACGCUGAGACACGAAAGCCAGGGGAGCGAACGGG